GAUGAAGAACGCAGCGAAAUGCGAUAACUAAUGUGAAUUGCAGAAUUCAGUGAAUCAUCGAGUCUUUGAACGCACAUUGCGCCCCCUGGUAUUCCGGGGGGCAUGCCUGUCCGAGCGUCAUUGCUGCCCUCAAGCACGGCUUGUGUGUUGGGCUCCGUCCCCCCGGGGACGGGCCCGAAAGGCAGCGGCGGCACCGAGUCCGGUCCUCGAGCGUAUGGGGCUUUGUCACCCGCUCUGUAGGCCCGGCCGGCGCCAGCCGACAACCCAUCAUCCUUUUCAGGUUGACCUCGGAUCAGGUAGGGAUACCCGCUGAACUUAAGCAUAUCAUAAGCGGAGGA
rnacentral:misc_RNA from 1 species